UACGUAGGGUGCAAGCGUUGUCCGGAAUUAUUGGGCGUAAAGAGCUCGUAGGCGGUCUGUUGCGUCCGCUGUGAAAACUCGGGGCUUAACCCCGAGCCUGCAGUGGAUACGGGCAGACUAGAGGUAGGUAGGGGAGAAUGGAAUUCCCGGUGUAGCGGUGAAAUGCGCAGAUAUCGGGAAGAACACCCGUGGCGAAGGCGGCUUUCUGGGACGGUACUGACGCUGAGACGCGAAAGCGUGGGGAGCGAACAGG
rnacentral:rRNA from 1 species